rnacentral:rRNA from 1 species
AGCAGCCGCGGUAAUUCCAGCUCCAAUAGCGUAUAUUAAAGUUGUUGCAGUUAAAAAGCUCGUAGUUGAAUUUCGAGAUCAAAUUGUUGGUCGUGCCUUGGUACGCACUGGCAUUAUUGGUUUCUCCCUUCUGACGAACCAUGAUGUCAUUAAUUUGGUGUCUUGGGGAAUCAGGACUGUUACUUUGAAAAAUUAGAGUGUUUAAAGCAGGCUCACGCUUGAAUACAUUAGCAUGGAAUAAUGAAAUAGGACGUUUGAUUCUAUUUUGUUGGUUUCUAGGAUCGACGUAAUGAUUAAUAGGGAUAGUUGGGGGCAUUAGUAUUCAAUUGUCAGAGGUGAAAUUCUUGGAUUUAUUGAAGACUAACUACUGCGAAAGCAUUUGCCAAGGAUGUUUUCAUUAAUCAAGAACGAAAGUUAGGGGAUCGAAGACGAUCAGAUACCGUCGUAGUCUUAACCAUAAACUAUGCCGACUAGGGAUCGGAUGAUGUUAAUUUUUAGUGACUC